UGGGGGAUAUUGCACAAUGGGCGAAAGCCUGAUGCAGCGACGCCGCGUGGGGGAUGAAGGCUUUCGGGUUGUAAACCUCUUUCGCUAUCGAACAAGGCCCGCUUAGGGUGGGUUGAGGGUAGGUGGAGAAGAAGCGCCGGCUAACUACGUGCCAGCAGCCGCGGUAAUACGUAGGGCGCGAGCGUUGUCCGGAAUUAUUGGGCGUAAAGGGCUUGUAGGCGGCUUGUUGCGCCUGCUGUGAAAACGCGGGGCUUAACUUCGCGCGUGCAGUGGGUACGGGCAGGCUUGAGUGUGGUAGGGGUGACUGCAAUUCCAGGUGUAGCGGUGGAAUGCGCAGAUAUCUGGAGGAACACCGAUGGCGAAGGCAGGUCACUGGGCCAUUACUGACGCUGAGGAGCGAAAGCAUGGGUAGCGAACAGG
rnacentral:rRNA from 1 species